rnacentral:lncRNA from 1 species
CAGAGCAAGGCUUUGUCUCAAAGAAAGAAAAAAAUUAGCUGGGCAUGCUGGCACGUGCCUGUAGUGCCAGAUACUUGAGAGGCUAAGGCGGGAGGAUCGCUUGAGCCCAGGAGUUCAAGGCUGCAGUGAGCUAUGAUUGCACCACUGCAUUCCAUCCUGGGUGACAGAGCAAGAUCCCAUCUUUAUUAAAAAAAAAAAAAAUUUUGUGGAACCCAGUGGAAUGUUAUUCAGUCAUAAAAAGGAAUGAAGUAUUACUCAUGCUACAACAUAGAUAAACCUUGAAAACAUGCUAAGUUGAAAGAAGUCAGACAUAAAAGAUUACAUAUUGUAUCAUUCCAUUUAUGUAAAUUAUCCAGAAUAGGUAAAUCCAUAGAAAUAGAAAGACUGGUGUUUGUCAGAGGCUAGAAAUAGGGGGAGAUAGGGAGGAACUGUCUAAUGGAUAUAGGGUUUUAUUUUGGGAUGACAAAAAUGUUUGGGGCUGUGCAGUGGCUCAUGAUGAUUUCUUUUACUUUUAUUUUCACAGUAAAAUAAUAGCCAAAGUCAUCAGCUAAGAGUAAGGAAAGAUAAAGGGAUGCUGGAAAACUGCAGAGAUUGUUCAUAAAUAAAGCCUCCCUUCUUUCAUUUAUUCAGUCAGGACAGCACCCAACAGAGGUGGCCAGUUACUUGGCAGCUUUAUCUACUGUGUAUAUCCGGGAUGCUUAGCAUGACGUGUCCCUAAGUGUUGAAGAAUCCAUCGCAUCUUGGGAUCUAGCUGAGAGGGAAGGGUUGGGGUUGGGAAAAUAGCAAUAGAUACAGCUAGCGUUCAUUGAAUGCUUCUUAAAGGUUGAGCACAGUAAUUCAGAGCUCCACCUGACUUUUCUCAUUGAAUCCAAACAACAGUCAGCCAGAUGCAGUGGCUCACGCCUGUAAUCCCAGCACUUUGGGAGGCUGAGGCGAGUGGAUCACCUGAGGUCAGGGGUUCAAGACCAAUCUGGCCAAAAUGGUGAAACCCCAUCUCUACUAAAAAUACAAAAAUUAGCCAGGCGUGGUGGCAGGCGCCAGUAAUCCCAGCUACUCGGGAGGCUGAGGCAGGAGAAUCACUUGAACCCAAGAGGUGGAGGUUGCAGUGAGCCAAGAUCACCCCAUUGCACUCCAGUCUGGGCAACAAGAGCGAAACUCCGUCUCAGAAAAAAAAAAAUCCAAUCAACAGUCUUUUUUUUUUUAAGGUUUU